GAGUGAAGAUUAAAAUUUUUAAAUUUGAAAAAUAUAAAAAUUAAAAAAAUCAAAUUAAACAAAAGUGACUAAAUUAAUACUGGACUAAUAGUAGAAUUUGACCAAACAAAAUUACCUAAUACUUAGGCAUAAUUCAAAGAAUAACAACAAUACUUGAAAGAAAAAGAAAUAUGCUGUUAUGAAUCCAAAUCUUAGCUUAAAUGGUUUAAACAACUACCCUGAAAAGGGUGGCAUUCAUGGAGUUUAAAACUUAAAAGUUUCAAACAUCUACAACAUCUGCAACACCUUCUUUUAUCCCUAUGAAGAUAUGGGGAAGAUGAGUGUAGAAGCCCAAAUUUGCUGGGCCCAUUGUUCAAAUAAAAUAAAAUACAACAAACCUAAAAUUCAAUCCCAACUACCCAAACCUUAAGCCCAAAAUAAUCAGCCCACAAACUUAAAAUUUCAGCAGCAAACCCUAGCUGGCCGCCGCAUGCCUUACGUGGCCUCCUCAGCCUUGGCCACCACGCCCCACGCGUCUGACACUCCCACCUGCUCCACCGUGCCCACCACCUGCAACAAGAACAAACACAACAGCAAAGAAAGCAUGCGAAUGAUGGGGGAAGUAAUAAACAAAAGGAACAAAAAAAUAUAUUGGCUUUAAAAGCCGAAAUCUAUCAUUUGUAAUGGGGGGGAUUUUCUUUGAAAAAGAUAACAAAGAUUAGAAAUAAAAAAGAAAACAAAAGGUUACUGUUUUAUUCUUCUUUUUUUUCUUCGAUUCAUUCAUUUUAUUUUAUUUAUUACCAUUAUUUUUUUUAAAUAUGUUCUAAAAAACUUUUAAUAAAAGAAAUCAAAAGCAAAAUAAGGAGAAGAGAAAUUCACCGGAGUUGGCCGUGACCACGCCGCCGGUGGGGUUUCUCCUUCAUCGUCGACCACCAGUCUUUGUGGCUGUGGCGGUGGC
rnacentral:lncRNA from 1 species